GCUGGCGGCGUGCCUAAUACAUGCAAGUCGAGCGAGCGGAACUAACAGAUUUACUUCGGUAAUGACGUUAGGAAAGCGAGCGGCGGAUGGGUGAGUAACACGUGGGGAACCUGCCCCAUAGUCUGGGAUACCACUUGGAAACAGGUGCUAAUACCGGAUAAGAAAGCAGAUCGCAUGAUCAGCUUUUAAAAGGCGGCGUAAGCUGUCGCUAUGGGAUGGCCCCGCGGUGCAUUAGCUAGUUGGUAAGGUAAAGGCUUACCAAGGCGAUGAUGCAUAGCCGAGUUGAGAGACUGAUCGGCCACAUUGGGACUGAGACACGGCCCAAACUCCUACGGGAGGCAGCAGUAGGGAAUCUUCCACACUGGACGCAAGUCUGAUGGAGCAACGCCGCGUGAGUGAAGAAGGUUUUCGGAUCGUAAAGCUCUGUUGUUGGUGAAGAAGGAUAGAGGUAGUAACUGGCCUUUAUUUGACGGUAAUCAACCAGAAAGUCACGGCUAACUACGUGCCAGCAGCCGCGGUAAUACGUAGGUGGCAAGCGUUGUCCGGAUUUAUUGGGCGUAAAGCGAGCGCAGGUGGAAGAAUAAGUCUGAUGUGAAAGCCCUCGGCUUAACCGAGGAACUGCAUCGGAAACUGUUUUUCUUGAGUGCAGAAGAGGAGAGUGGAACUCCAUGUGUAGCGGUGGAAUGCGUAGAUAUAUGGAAGAACACCAGUGGCGAAGGCGGCUCUCUGGUCUGCAACUGACGCUGAGGCUCGAAAGCAUGGGUAGCGAACAGGAUUAGAUACCCUGGUAGUCCAUGCCGUAAACGAUGAGUGCUAAGUGUUGGGAGGUUUCCGCCUCUCAGUGCUGCAGCUAACGCAUUAAGCACUCCGCCUGGGGAGUACGACCGCAAGGUUGAAACUCAAAGGAAUUGACGGGGGCCCGCACAAGCGGUGGAGCAUGUGGUUUAAUUCGAAGCAACGCGAAGAACCAUACCAGGUCUUGACAUCUAGUGUCAUUUGUAGAGAUACAAAGUUCCCUUCGGGGACGCUAAGACAGGUGGUGCAUGGCUGUCGUCAGCUCGUGUCGUGAGAUGUUGGGUUAAGUCCCGCAACGAGCGCAACCCUUGUUAUUAGUUGCCAGCAUUAAGUUGGGCACUCUAAUGAGACUGCCGGUGACAAACCGGAGGAAGGUGGGGAUGACGUCAAGUCAUCAUGCCCCUUAUGACCUGGGCUACACACGUGCUACAAUGGGCAGUACAACGAGAAGCGAGCCUGCGAAGGCAAGCGAAUCUCUGAAAGCUGUUCUCAGUUCGGACUGCAGUCUGCAACUCGACUGCACGAAGCUGGAAUCGCUAGUAAUCGCGGAUCAGCACGCCGCGGUGAAUACGUUCCCGGGCCUUGUACACACCGCCCGUCACACCAUGGGAGUCUGCAAUGCCCAAAGCCGGUGGCCUAACCUUCGGGAAGGAGCCGUCUAAGGCAGGGCAGAUGACUGG
rnacentral:rRNA from 1 species